AUUGAACGCUGGCGGCAGGCUUAACACAUGCAAGUCGAGCGGGGGAAGGUAGCUUGCUACCGGACCUAGCGGCGGACGGGUGAGUAAUGCUUAGGAAUCUGCCUAUUAGUGGGGGACAACAUCCCGAAAGGGAUGCUAAUACCGCAUACGUCCUACGGGAGAAAGCAGGGGAUCUUCGGACCUUGCGCUAAUAGAUGAGCCUAAGUCGGAUUAGCUAGUUGGUGGGGUACAGGCCUACCAAGGCGACGAUCUGUAGCGGGUCUGAGAGGAUGAUCCGCCACACUGGGACUGAGACACGGCCCAGACUCCUACGGGAGGCAGCAGUGGGGAAUAUUGGACAAUGGGGGGAACCCUGAUCCAGCCAUGCCGCGUGUGUGAAGAAGGCCUUAUGGUUGUAAAGCACUUUAAGCGAGGAGGAGGCUACUUUAGUUAAUACCUAGAGAUAGUGGACGUUACUCGCAGAAUAAGCACCGGCUAACUCUGUGCCAGCCGCCGCAGUAA
rnacentral:rRNA from 1 species